ensembl:antisense Gm38037 predicted gene, 38037
CCAGCGCUUGAGUCCGGGACGGCGUGUGGCGCAGCGGCGAAGCAGGUCACGUGAGCUCGUCUUUCUGCUCGCCGCGGAUUCGCGCCUCCACCGGUUCCCAGCCGUGGCUGCCCGCUCCACGAGCCCGUCCCUUCUUAGGAGGCUACAGCCCGGUCCUUCACGAGAGUUCAGGUGGCCGCCCUGCCCCUCCCCAGCGUGGGCGACGCUUGCUUCUCCCUAAGCCCGCCGUGGAAGGGCUGCCCGGUGCCUCACCUUGCCGUCGCUCUUCCUCCGAAUCUUCUGACAGCGGCCGUAGGAGCCGGUGCCGAUGCUGUGCAGCACCUCGUAGUCCUCCACCCGGGACGGCAUGGCGAGCGGCCACCCUGGCAACCACACCACCGCGCCGCUCGGAGCCCAGGCUCGCCCGCUGCAGGCCAACCGCGCCGAAACCCGAGCCCCUCGUCUGCCUGCCUGAGUCGGCGAGCAACCGGCCACCGGGUCAACCGUCGCGGGCUUCGGCCUCGCAUUCUAUUGGUCCACAGCGAAGGUGCAUCUCAACUCUGAUUGGCUGAGAAAACACAACACUGCUAGGCAUCCUGGGAAAAUGCGUGUCGCUAGGCAACCGCGUCGGCGUUGGUGUCUGCGUCUAGCUGCUCUACGGAAUACGAGCCGCGCCGAAAACCCCUGGGAUUUGGGAUCGCAAAGCCUGUUGGGGCCUCGGUAAUUCCAUUCCUUGGCUGAAGUCGCUAUGGUAACGGAUGUCCGAGGCUCUGGACUGGAGACACUGGCCUUUUGACCUUUCCACUUUGACCCCACCCUUUUCCGACUCCUCUGCACUCGGGUCCUGAACCUAAGCCCUUGUGUGUUGAGGAUUUGAUGACCCUGAGGGUGCGGUGAGUGCACCGAGCACUUUAUAGUCCUCACACCUAGAGAGCCAGAAUCCCUGUUCCAGCCCGGCUUGGUGGCGCGCUCAGGCAGAUCUCUGUGAGCUUGAGGACAUCCAGAGCUUUGUAGAGGGUCCCUGCCUUACCCCCACCCGCGAGAAAGACACCCCACGCCCAGAGAGAGAGAGAGACAGAGAGAGAGAAACUAGGCCCAACUGCCCAGAAGAGAACUAAUUAAAAAAUAAUAAGAAUAAAGGAUAUUCAUAGUAAUAACGCAGAGUUGACAUGUGUUUUCUGAGCACAGUUAGCAUAGUCUAGAUCUCUGAACAUUAAACUGAGAGACCUGUUGAACAUAGAAACGUAUCCAAAGCUUAGGGACUGAGUAUGGAAGCAUUCAGAACAGAGUCACCACACUGCCAAAUUGUACUUCUAAGACAUCUACCAAAAAAGUGUGUUAGGAAAAAAAAAAAAAAAAAAGGUGUUCCCUAAUAGCCAAUCCGGGAGCUGCAUGCAGUUUGCUGACUUGAGCUCACAUAGCCAGUGACAUGGCCCCGCUUUGACUUGGGGAAGGGGAGCUAAAGGCUUCCAUCCAGAGCAGGUGGGGGGUAAUGUGCAUUACCAGAAAGCUAAUAAUCUGCUGCAUAAAUGGGUCAUUGUUCUUAAAAUAUCUGUUCAUGCUGUGAUUGAAAAAGAACCCAAUGUCCUAUUAAUAAGAAUUAGAAGCCUCCUUAUGUUAAAAAUAAAUGUAUUUUGUGCGCUGAA